UACGGAGGGGGCUAGCGUUGUUCGGAAUUACUGGGCGUAAAGCGCACGUAGGCGGACCAUCAAGUUGGGGGUGAAAUCCCGGGGCUCAACCCCGGAACUGCCUUCAAAACUGUUGGUCUGGAGGUCGAGAGAGGUGAGUGGAAUUCCGAGUGUAGAGGUGAAAUUCGUAGAUAUUCGGAGGAACACCAGUGGCGAAGGCGGCUCACUGGCUCGAUUCUGACGCUGAGGUGCGAAAGCGUGGGGAGCAAACAGG
rnacentral:rRNA from 1 species